rnacentral:lncRNA from 1 species
UUUUAUUCUGAUUUGACUCCCUUGUCUGAAACUAUUUAGCUGCCAGCUGUUUCUCUUACCCUAAUAGUUUCUUCCUUCUGUUUUUUUUUUUUUUUGCAAUUGAAACCUUUCGCUGGGGAGGUGGGGGAGUUUGAUGAAGGAACAAACCUGGACAGCAGCACCUAAGGCAACAACUUCGUCAGGGUUCACAGUGACAUUUGGGUCCUUCCCAGUUAGCUUCUUCACCAACUCCUGAACAGCCGGAAUUCGGGUUGAUCCACCCACAAGAAUAACCUCAUCCAGAUCAUUGAAUGAAAGCUUUGCAUCCUUCAGCGCAUUAUUUACCGGCUUCUUCAGUCUGAAACGCAGGAACAAUGAUUUUAAGGAUUUUACAAGAUUUAUUCCAUC